AAGUCGUAACAAGGUUUCCGUAGGUGAACCUGCGGAAGGAUCAUUACUAAGUAAUGGAGGCUUCGGCCUUCUCACUACUUAACCCAUGUCUUUUGCGUACUAUUCGUUUCCUUGGUAGGCUUGCCUGCCAUUAGGACACUUUACAACCUUUUGUAAUUGCAGUCAGCGUCAGAAAAACUAUAAUAGUUACAACUUUCAACAACGGAUCUCUUGGUUCUG
rnacentral:misc_RNA from 1 species